rnacentral:rRNA from 1 species
GAACGCUUGUCGAGAUUUCGGUUUGGCGAGAAGUGGCGCACGGGUGAGUAGCGCGUGGGAACCUGCCCUGUUGUGGGGGAUAACCGAGGGAAACUUCGGCUAAUACCGCAUACGCCCGGGGGCGACUCCGGGGAAAGAUUGAUCGCAGCAGGAGGGGCCCGCGUCGGAUUAGGUAGUUGGCGGGGUAACGGCCCACCAAGCCUGUGAUCCGUAGCUGGUCUGAGAGGAUGAUCAGCCACACUGGGACUGAGACACGGCCCAGACUCCUACGGGAGGCAGCAGUGGGGAAUAUUGGACAAUGGGCGCAAGCCUGAUCCAGCAAUGCCGCGUGAGUGAUGAAGGCCUUCGGGUUGUAAAGCUCUUUCGCACGCGAGGAUGAUGACGCUAGCGUGAGAAGAAGCCCCGGCUAACUUCGUGCCAGCAGCCGCGGUAAUACGAAGGGGGCGAGCGUUGUUCGGAUUUACUGGGCGUAAAGGGCGCGUAGGCGGUGCGGCAAGUCAGGCGUGAAAGCCCCGGGCUCAACCUGGGAGGUGCGCUUGGGACUGCGGCACUGGAGUUCGGGAGAGGAGCGUGGAAUUCCCAGUGUAGAGGUGAAAUUCGUAGAUAUUGGGAAGAACACCGGUGGCGAAGGCGGCGCUCUGGACCGAUACUGACGCUGAGGCGCGAAAGCGUGGGGA